GGGCCGUUGGUCUAGUGGUUAUGACGCCGCCCUCACACGGCGGAGGUCCCCGGUUCGAGUCCGGGACGGCCCA
rnacentral:tRNA from 1 species